rnacentral:ncRNA from 2 species
AUGAUGGGUUCGAGAGAGACCUUCUCUAAGUCAGUAUACGCAUGAUAACAGAGUGAGGAGGCGCCGAAGGGGAAAGUGAACAUUUGAAACUCUCAGGCAAAAGGAUUGAAUCCGGACG